GGGUUGUGAGGUUAAGCGACUAAGCGUACACGGUGGAUGCCCUGGCAGUCAGAGGCGAUGAAGGGCGUGCUAAUCUGCGAUAAGCGCCGGUAAGGUGAUAUGAACCGUUAUAACCGGCGAUACCCGAAUGGGGAAACCCAGUGUGAUUCGUCACACUAUCAUUAACUGAAUCCAUAGGUUAAUGAGGCGAACCGGGGGAACUGAAACAUCUAAGUACCCCGAGGAAAAGAAAUCAACCGAGAUUCCCCCAGUAGCGGCGAGCGAACGGGGAGGAGCCCAGAGCCUGAAUCAGCAUGUGUGUUAGUGGAAGCGUCUGGAAAGGCGCGCGAUACAGGGUGACAGCCCCGUACACAAAAGCGCAUGUGCUGUGAGCUCGAUGAGUAGGGCGGGACACGUGGUAUCCUGUCUGAAUAUGGGGGGACCAUCCUCCAAGGCUAAAUACUCCUGACUGACCGAUAGUGAACCAGUACCGUGAGGGAAAGGCGAAAAGAACCCCGGCGAGGGGAGUGAAAAAGAACCUGAAACCGUGUACGUACAAGCAGUGGGAGCACCCUUUGGGGUGUGACUGCGUACCUUUUGUAUAAUGGGUCAGCGACUUAUAUUCUGUAGCAAGGUUAACCGAAUAGGGGAGCCGGAGGGAAACCGAGUCUUAAUUGGGCGUUAAGUUGCAGGGUAUAGACCCGAAACCCGGUGAUCUAGCCAUGGGCAGGUUGAAGGUUGGGUAACACUAACUGGAGGACCGAACCGACUAAUGUUGAAAAAUUAGCGGAUGACCUGUGGCUGGGGGUGAAAGGCCAAUCAAACCGGGAGAUAGCUGGUUCUCCCCGAAAGCUAUUUAGGUAGCGCCUCGUGAAUUCAUCUCCGGGGGUAGAGCACUGUUUCGGCUAGGGGGCCAUCCCGGCUUACCAACCCGAUGCAAACUGCGAAUACCGGAGAAUGUUAUCACGGGAGACACACGGCGGGUGCUAACGUCCGUCGUGAAGAGGGAAACAACCCAGACCGCCAGCUAAGGUCCCAAAGUCAUGGUUAAGUGGGAAACGAUGUGGGAAGGCCCAGACAGCCAGGAUGUUGGCUUAGAAGCAGCCAUCAUUUAAAGAAAGCGUAAUAGCUCACUGGUCGAGUCGGCCUGCGCGGAAGAUGUAACGGGGCUAAACCAUGCACCGAAGCUGCGGCAGCGA
rnacentral:rRNA from 2 species